rnacentral:tRNA from 1 species
GCCUGGAUGGCUAAAUUGAUAGAGCUUGUGACUCUUGAUCUCAAGAUUGUGAGUUUGAGCCUCAUGUUGGGUG